GCACAGCAGAGAGUAAAUAUUCCCAGACCUGAGAGCAAGAGGGAUCACCUCAUUAGCUCUGACCUCUUCUCGCCUCCCUGCCUCCCAGUUCGCCCUGUGGCUUUGAAAGAUGAAUACCCGAUAUUUGGAAAUGAAGGGAAUAAAACUGCUCUUGGAAACCAUGAAAUGAACACACAAUGCAUCAGAGCCAAACUUGCAAUCACUCAAGAAAGAAUGAUUCUCAAGGCAUCGAGCCCCCCGGAAGUUAAUUGAAAGGCUGUCUACAGAAAAGAUGGUCAGUCCUUAGGGAGACGUAGGUCAGUAAUGACCACACAGAAAAGGAGAGUCCUCGAGAAAACCCAGAGCCCUGACCUGGAGGAAGAGGACAUUGGUCCUAAAGCAAGCAGCCAUGUGACUGUAACCUGGCUUCCCAAGUACUUGGUCCUCAAG